rnacentral:rRNA from 1 species
UACGGAGGGUGCGAGCGUUGUCCGGAAUCAUUGGGCGUAAAGGGCGCGUAGGUGGCCCGGUCAGUUCGUGGUGAAAGCGCGGGGCUCAACCCUGCGUCGGCCAUGAAUACUGCCGCGGCUGGAGCACUGUAGAGGCAGGCGGAAUUCCUGGUGUAGCGGUGGAAUGCGCAGAUAUCAGGAGGAACACCAAUAGCGAAGGCAGCUCGCUGGGACGGUACUGACGCUGAGGCGCGAAAGCGUGGGGAGCGAACAGG